UACGACGGGUAACCGGUCUGAGAGGAUGAUCGGUCACAGUGGGACUGAGACACGGCCCGCACCCCUACGGGGGGCAGCAGUGGGGAAUAUUGGGCAAUGGCCGAAAGGCUGACCCAGCAACGCCGCGUGGUGGAUGAAGCCCUUCGGGGUGUAAACACCUUUUCUGGGGGAAGAUAAUGACGGUACCCCAGGAAUAAGGGACGGCUAACUACGUGCCAGCAGCCGCGGUAAUACGUAGGUCCCGAACGUUGCGCGAAAUUACUGGGCGUAAAGGGUCCGUAGGCGGUCUGGUAAGUGGAAGGUGAAAUCCUACGGCUCAACCGUAGAAUUGCCUUCCAAACUGCUGGACUUGAGGCAGGGAGAGGUCGGCGGAAUUCCCGGUGUAGCGGUGAAAUGCGUAGAUAUCGGAAGGAACACCAGUGGCGAAGGCGGCCGACUGGAACUGUCCUGACGCUGAGGGACGAAAGCUAGGGGAGCAAACCGGAUUAGAUACCCGGGUAGUCCUAGCCGUAAACGAUGGAUGCUAGAUGUGGCCUACGAAAGUAGGCUGUGCCGCAAGCAAACGCGUUAAGCAUC
rnacentral:rRNA from 1 species